CCUACGGGAGGCAGCAGUGAGGAAUAUUGGUCAAUGGGCGAGAGCCUGAACCAGCCAAGUCGCGUGAGGGAGUACUGCCCUAUGGGUUGUAAACCUCUUUUGUCGGGGAGCAAAAGCCGGACGUGUCCGGCUGUGAGAGUACCCGAAGAAAAAGCAUCGGCUAACUCCGUGCCAGCAGCCGCGGUAAUACGGAGGAUGCGAGCGUUUUCCGGAUUUAUUGGGGUUAAAGGGUGCGCAGGCGGAUUGUUAAGUCAGCGGUCAAAUCGUGGGGCUCAACCCCAUCCAGCCGUUGAAACUGGGGAUCUAGAGUGGGCGAGAGGUAUGCGGAAUGCGUGGUGUAGCGGUGAAAUGCAUAGAUAGCACGCAGAACCCCGAUUGCGAAGGCAGCAUACCGGUGCACAACUGACGCUCAGGCACGAAAGCGUGGGUAUCGAACAGGAUUAGAUACCCCAGUAGUC
rnacentral:rRNA from 1 species